rnacentral:rRNA from 1 species
CCUACGUGUUGCAGCAGUGGGGGAUAUUGCACAAUGGGGGAAACCCUGAUGCAGCGACGCCGCGUGUGGGAAGACGGUCCUCUGGAUUGUAAACCACUGUCCCCAGGGACGAAGAUGACGGUACCUGGGGAGGAAGCUCCGGCUAACUACGUGCGAGCAGCCGCGGUCAUACGUAGGGAGCGAGCGGUGUCCGGAAUUACUGGGUGUAAAGGGAGCGUAGGCGGGGAUGCAAGGUGGGUGUAAAAACUACCGGCUCAACUGGUAGUCGAACUCAAAACUGCAGCUCUUGAGUGAAGUAGAGGCAGGCGGAAUGCCUAGUGUAGCGGUGAAAUGCGUAGAUAUUAGGAGGAACACCAGUGGCGAAGGCGGCCUGCUGGGCUUUUACUGACGCUGAGGCUCGAAAGUGUGGGGAGCAAACAGGAUUAGAUACCCUUGUAGUC